rnacentral:lncRNA from 1 species
UAUAACCCAGCUCCCUCUUUCGCCGGAGAUAUAAGUAAAACUCGAAAGGGCUGGGUCAUUAUACCGUUUGUUCUUCAGGCAUUCCGCUACCAAAACCCCCCUGGAGACCAAUAGCGAUCUCUGCAAUUCCACUCCAAGAAGACCCAGACACCCUGAUCCUUUACAGGCGACUCACAAAAAUUGUCAAGAUCCUGUAAGUUUUCAAUCUAAGGUUAAUUGUUGUUUUUUAUUCUUUUUUGGGUUUCUACUUCUAGUAUUACCCCUUCUUCUUCAGCUUUUCGAUGGCAGGGUUUUCUGAUGUUAUAGCUUUAAGUAACUGCGCCAGAUAGAUUUAUUGCAAAUUAGAAAAGAAGGAUACUACAGAGUGUGUCUCCGUGGUUAUUUCUGAUCUUUUUGUUGGGUUCUUCGUCAUUUUUUUGCUGUUUUUUUUUCUUCUAUAAAAUAUGGCUUUGUUGGUUGCAAGAAAAUGUCAUUCAUUCUGUCACUUUCUUAUGAAGCCUUGUUUUGUCAGAAUCAGAUCAACAUGUUUUAGUAAAAUCCUUUUUUUUUUGUGGCUAUGUCAUGGUUGUUCUUCAUAUUUGUUUAAAAUUCAAUAUGAUGAAAUCAUCAUCCCUCGAUUCAUAUAUGUUGAACUGUGACGAUGCUACUGAAGGAUCUUUUAUGUUUAUUUUCCCAUAACUAAAUUAUACUUUCUAGAAUUGCGACUCUUCUUAAUAUUUAACAGUUAUAUGUUUGUGUAGGUUAUACAGAAUCAUUCAAAGUGGAAUACAAAUAACAGACCCCAACAUCGGUAAGCCUAGCUUUUCGAAUACAUGACAGCUAACAGACCAUAUUUGACAUACCUUUGUAUAAAAAACAUCAGUGAAUGUGAGGGGGUUAUAUAUGUAACAAAAAAUAAGUUUUCUUUUUUCUAAUAUCUUGUUUAUAGAUUUAGUUUAAUACGUUUUAUUUAGAAACAAACAUGAAGGCAGGGGCAAUCAUAUUGAACCAGGAAUCACCUAGCAAUCUUGUAUCAAGGUAUAAUAAAAUAUCCAUGAGAUUUAUCAGGCUAUUUUGUGUGAUUUGGUCCUAAAAAACAUAUGAGAAAAUCUUAGUUGUUACAUGUUGUAUAAAAUCUUUUUGAUGCAUAAAUUCCUGUAUUAUCCUUAUUUAGUAAUGGAUGGCUUGGAACUGCAGUUUUCAGACAAAAAAUAAGGAUGAAACUAAUAUCUUUUUCAAGAUUAGAAUUGUCAUGUUGUUUUUUCAUGUAUCAAUCAUUAUCAUCUGACACAUCUUAUUUCAUGGUUAUGUUAAUCGGACAACCAGAGCAGUCAAGAGCUCCUAGCAAUUUAGGAAAAAAAAGCCAGUGGUCAAUAUAUGGUCAAAGGUACAAAACCAAACUCUACUUACUUAAUAAUUAAUAUGGAUGCAAGUUCUCUAUAGUGUAAUAAUGAAAAAAGCGUUGCUAUAUUGGUGUCCCAUGAAGGGACCUAUCUGCGAGUGAUUGUCAUUUUAAUUUUUCCCAUUAGGACAUUAUAAUUUUAUCUUCUUAUUAAGACAAUGCACUUUGAUUUUGGUUACCAGUUUACAAUAUUAUUAUAUAUUAUUUAUUUUGCUGUUAGGAAAUUUUGACUAGUAGUCAUCAAUCAAAGCCAAUGCAAGAGUUUUGUUGCAUUUUGUAGGAUAGAGUUAUGCACAACAUUCAGCUAAAGAAGUUGAUGAAUGUGUACUGUGAUAGACACAAGGAAAUUCUUGAUGAGGUAAUUUUUUUUCAUUAUUUGACAAAUGUAACUACUCUUCUUUUAUUUUUCAUUGUUUGAUAGUCUCUCUGAAAAAUAUAAAAGUGCAACACUACAUCACCUUCUUAGUCAGGGAGUUUUUUGCUGGUAACUCUCAGUUAAAACAUCAGAGUACAUGACUUUCAAAAAAACCAAUGGCAGGUAAUGACUAUUUUGCCCUUCAACUUCUUUCACCCAACAUAUUAUAUUUAUUGCGAUUUCAUCUUGUAGAGAAAGAUGUGGUGUGAAAAUGGCCAUACAAUUCAAAGUAUUUAAAAUUUUUGUUUUUUUUUCUUUAAAAAAAAUUUAAAUAAUUUUUUUUAAUGGUAAGGAUUGACAGGUCAUUGUCAUUCCAUGAGGGUGAUGACAAUCCAUACAUUCGCCUUUUGCAUGAUAUAUUGUUGGCUUACUCUCUUCAACAACUUUGAUCUUGGUUAUUGCCAGGUCACAUACAUGUCCCUAUUAUUUACAGAGUAAAUUACAAUUUUGUCCCUAGAUGUUUCAUUUGUUGCACAAGUGGUCUAUCAAGUAUAGCUUUGUUGGAAGAUUAGUCCCUAAUUUGACAGAGUUGAAUUUGUUCCAAAUUUUGAUUUUGGUUAUCAGUUAUAGCAUUAUACUUUUAUUUUGUUUUUCCUACAUGGACAUUGUACUUUGAAAAUCUAAACACUUAAAAACAUAGUACUCUAAACUUAAAGAUAUUUUUCUUUUAUUUGUGUUUUUGUAUUAGUUAAUUAAUUUUUCAUAUAUUGCAUUAUAAAAUUUACCAUAUUAAGACUCUGUAUUGUGCAAAUUGAUCACUUUGACAUUUCAGUUGCUGAGAAUUUCUUCUGAGAGUGGUAUGAUGUGAUGGGUGAUCAUUUCUUAUUGAUUGCAUUGAUAAGAUUCUUACUGAAAUGAUGCGACAACCUUCUAGCACUCAUAUUAUUGACUGGUAAUAUAGGUGGUUGGAGGGCUACAUGAGCUAAUGACAUUCUCUUCUAUCAGCAACUUGGUUUAAGCUAAGCUCGUAUCAUUUUCGAAACUUAUUACUCAGGUAACUUCAAAUCCUUUUGUUGAAUCACAAUUUAGUGUUUGAAUUUUCGCUAACUUUUUCUCUUUAUUAUACUUAAACAUCUCUAGUAACAUGAGUUUAGUUAAUCUUUCAUGAUUUCUGGCAUUUGAUUACUGAUUUAUUUGCAUAUGAAUUGGUGCUUUUUAGGGUAGUCACAACCAUCACCAUUUUCGUCCACCAAAACCAGAUGAUGUUGCUACAACUGGGACAUGAAAGGUUUCUACUUUUUAUUCACUUAUGCUUUUUCUUUACAGGUAUACCAAAGUUGAAUUUUUUCUUUCUUCUUAUUCUUUUCCCUACAUAGUAAGGGGGAUGUAGCAGUUUCCUAUGAAAACCUGAUUGCAAUAGUUGCUGUUGGAAGUCUUGAAAUUAACUUUAAUCCAUUGGAUGUGUAAGUAUGAGCAGUCUCAAAUUGGUUUAUAAAAUGCCAAUUGUUUCACCAUUAUUUUGUUCUAAUGCUGCCUAUGCUCAUUUCAGUUAUGCAUAUCUUAUCCUCCUUUGGCACACAUCAGAUAUAUAAAAGGUCCAACCAGAUCGUGUUGAUGUGUACUUUGGUGCCUCAUUUGAAAAUAUCAAGGAGUAAGAAACUUCAAGUUAAGGUUCUUUUUCCAUAUUAAGUUUGACUUUUUUGGUGACUUGAAAUGCUCUAAUUUGGCAGAUUUUUCAAAGUGUAAUGCUAUAUUAGGAAAAAAAUGAAAGUAGAUUGCUAUUUCUUGCAUUUAAAGCAAUAUUGAUGUUUAUUAUCCGUGUUUCAGAAGUAAUGCUUGUGCAUGUUCCUGGGAUCAACUAUACAGCUGAGUUCUCUUUCUCUUCUGAUUGGGUAUCACCCUGUAUUCUUCAUCAGCAGUUUGUUUUUUUUCUGAAAAAUCUGAUUUUCAAACUGCACCAGUUUUGUUGCUACAUAAAAAUAGAAGGGAAGUUAUUCAGAAGACAGACAUUAGUCAGGGGUUUUUUUGGUAGCAUUUAACAAUUUUAGAUAGUACAAUUUCAUUAUGAUGUUUGGCAUUCCAUAAAAUAUUACAUGCAUUAUAAUGGAACAAAUUAACGCCAUAGGAACCAAAUUCAUAUAAAAAUUAGAGUUCAAUAUUGGUUCAUUAUAUUUUAGUCUGCCCUUUUCCUUUAUAGAUUUUCAUCCAGGUUCUUGGAUCUGUACUUUAAAUUUAUUACCACAUCUGAUGUGUUAGCAUAACCAACUGAUUUGAGGAAAAAAAGUUUAUAUUAGGUUGUUUAUUGUUCCUUAUAUAAGGCACAUAACCCUUUUUUUUCUUUUUUCAAUAAGUGCUGCAUUGAUAAAGUGCUACCUGGUUAACGAUGUCUUAAGGUUUCUGGAAUUUGUGACUAUAUCUAUGUUCUACUUGAUAAAAAAUGCUUUCAUAUGGUGUUUAAUUCAAUCAAUCUAUUAAAUUUCACUUAAAUUAAAAGUUAUUGAUGUGAAUAUCAUAAUUAGGCUUUUCUCUCAUAUAAUUGUUACUCUUUCAUGACAAAAUUAUUUUUCAUUUAUUUUGGCAGUUUGAUAAAUUAUCGCUAAAGCAUCCUUUGGUGGUUGAAGAGGAACACACAUUUGUUUUUAAUUUUUUUUUGGGUAAAUUUUAGAAAAAAGCCACAUGCCUAAUUCUUUUUUUACCAAUAUAGGAAGUAUACUUUAUUUUUACUGACAGAUAGCAAUGUGUAACCCAUAAUACCAUACUUACAAUUCUGCACUCUUUUUGGCAAUAUUCUUAUAUCUUUUAAUGAAUAAUAGCAAGAUAUUGCUAUAUAUGUUAUACAAUGACAGGUCAUUGUCGUUCGAUGAGGGUGAUGAUAAUCCAAACAUUCACCUUUUGCAUGAUAUAUUGUUGGCUUACUUGUUCUACAACUUUGAUCUUGGUUAUUACCAAGUCACAUGUCCCUAUUAUUUAUAGAGUAAGUUACAAUUUUGUCCUUGUGAUAUUCCAAAGUUUUUGAGGUUAGAUUUUUUAGAUCUUGAUUUUGGUUUAAGUUUUAGGUUUUGAUUGAGUGUGGUUUGGUUUUAUGAGUAAGGAGAUUUGAAAUAAACAUUUUUUUUCCUCAAAGGACAGUGAUCUCCUCCUCUCACCAAUAAUGUUGUUCAUCAAUCAUGAAAGAUAAAUCAUAAGCUUUCUGGUGUUUUCUUACUUUAAUGGAAAGAUCAAGUCCACAGUUCAACUGUGAUAAAAAACGGGAUUCACUCUCAACUCUUUGCAUUAUCAAAGGUCCUCCCUCUAUCUCACUAUAGAACAAAGGUAUUUUCGUCGUUUAAUAAAAUAGGAAGAAUGUAACUGAAAUCCUGCCACCGGCCCCCUAUGAAUGGUUCAAAUCCAUCAAAUAUGACAUUCGAAGGAAUUUGACAGAGUUGAAUCCGGUCCAAACUUUCAACUAAAUGCACCAUUGAAUGGAAUAAUGAAUUCCAAUUCCACCGGAAUCAACAAUUCUAUUUCAUAGCUGCGAUUUUCAAACAUGAUACUUCAAGAAAUUCGACAGAACUGAAUUCUGUAUUAUUUGUCAAUCAAACAUGUCUUGAUAAGGAAUCUUGAAUUCCAAUUCUGUCGGAAUACGCGAUUCCUUUUCUUAGCUGGUGGAACUACUCAACAACCCAUUUUAGUUGUUACAACUUGUAUAAAAUCUUUUUGAUGCUUAAAUUCCUGUAUCAUCCUUAAUUAGUAAUGGAUUGCUUGGAAUUGCAGUUUUCAGACGAAAAUAAGGAUAUUAUACUUUUUGUCUUAAGUCAUUUCAUUUUGAAAAUCUACACUUGUUAUAUUUUUCCCUAUUUAGAUAUUGUACUUUGAUAAAUGGUUUAUGAAGACAUUGCAGUUCAAAAGUUAUAAAUUGACAAUUUAACCUGUUAAAUUAUAAUUUUUUUUCCUUCUAAGAAAUUGUACUUUGAUAUUACUUUGAAAAUCUAAAGAUGGUUGAUAUUGGUUACAGUUUAUAGGAUUUUACUUUCAAUUUUUUUCCUAUUACGGCAUUGUACAUUGAAAACUUGUUUGAUUUUUGUUACAAAUAGCAUUUUAUUUUAAGCUUUUCUUGUUAAAACAUUAUGCUUUGAAAAACCUACCUAAUUGUAGCACUACAACUUUCAGUUAUAGCAUUAUGCUUUCAAUGUCCCUAUUUUUUAAUGUUUUUUUUUUUUUCAGGUAUGACAUUGUAUGAUUAAAUUCUUAUCGAUUAUAGUUUUAUACUCUCUCAUAUAGCACUAUACUUUCGAUAUCUAACCUAUUAAUCCAUUUUUACCAAUUAUAGGAUUUUACUUCGAAUUAUAAAUUUGUUUUACGUUAUUACCCUCUUCAGACACAUGCGAUAUGCUUCUCUUGGAGGGUUUGAUGUGGCAAUGAAACGUUUGUUGAAAAUUGUGGCUUGUAGUCAUCAACUAAAGCCAAUGCAAGAGUUUUGUUGCAUUUUGUAGGAUAGACACAAGGAAACUCCUGAUGAGGUAAUUUUUUUUUCAUUAUUUGACAAAAGUAACUACUCUUUUUUCUUUUUUCAUUGUUUGAUAGUCUCUUUUAAAAAUAAAAAGGUGCAACACCACAUCACCUUCUUAGUCAGGGAGUUUUUUACUGGUAACUCUCUCUCUAAGAUGCAUAUCCAUAGAGGAAUUCUAGUGGUUUGGCUAUCAAGUAAUUGAUUAAAUGUGAGUAUGCAUCUAUGUAGUUAGCUUGCUAAAAACUCCAAACAAAAUUAGUUUAAAUAGAAGAAGAUUGUCAAAUUAGAGACAUGAGUGGUUGAUGCGUUUUACACAUGGGGUUAAUGGGGAUUAUGUUUUCAAGGACACUCACGGAGGUUAGGAUUUGAUAGUAGUUUGUUCAAUCAUCAUCUAGAUUUCAAUUCUAUGUAAACCCUUUUGUUUUGCUCUACAUUUCAUCACCAUAGUUACUGAAUUUGUUGCUGUGGUAGUGGUAGAACAAGGGUACAAUUUCUCCUUGUUGUUAUAUUGUGUCUUAUAAGUUCAAAUGUAUAACAUUGCAGCAGCAGGAUCCCUUAUU